rnacentral:rRNA from 1 species
UUGGAGGGCAAGUCUGGUGCCAGCAGCCGCGGUAAUUCCAGCUCCAAUAGCGUAUAUUAAAGUUGUUGCAGUUAAAAAGCUCGUAGUUGAAUUUCGGGAUCAAUUUAUCGGUCGUGCCUCUGGUAUGCACUGGUAUUAUUGAUUUCUACCUUCUGACGAACCAUGAUGUCAUUAAUUUGGUGUCAUGGGGAAUCAGGACUGUUACUUUGAAAAAAUUAGAGUGUUUAAAGCAAGCACACGCUUGAAUACAUUAGCAUGGAAUAAUGAAAUAGGACGUUCGACCCUAUUUUGUUGGUUUCUAGGAUCGACGUAAUGAUUAAUAGGGAUAGUUGGGGGCAUUAGUAUUCAAUUGUCAGAGGUGAAAUUCUUGGAUUUAUUGAAGACUAACUACUGCGAAAGCAUUUGCCAAGGAUGUUUUCAUUAAUCAAGAACGAAAGUUAGGGGAUCGAAGACGAUCAGAUACCGUCGUAGUCUUAACCAUAAACUAUGCCGACUAGGGAUCGGAUGAUGUUAAUUUUUUAAUGACUCAUUCGGCGCCUUACGGGAAAC